rnacentral:misc_RNA from 1 species
GAUGAAGAACGUAGCGAAAUGCGAUAAGUAAUGUGAAUUGCAGAAUUCAGUGAAUCAUCGAAUCUUUGAACGCACAUUGCGCCCGCCAGUAUUCUGGCGGGCAUGCCUGUUCGAGCGUCAUUACAACCCUCAGGCCCCCGGGCCUGGCGUUGGGGAUCGGCGGAGCCCCCCGUGGGCACACGCCGUCCCCCAAAUGCAGUGGCGGUCCCGCCGCAGCUUCCACCGCGUAGUAGCUAACACCUCGCGACUGGAGAGCGGCGCGGCCACGCCGUAAAACACCCAACUCUUCUGAAGUUGACCUCGAAUCAGGUAGGAAUACCCGCUGAACUUAAGCAUAUCAAUAAGCGGAGGA